AACCCUUCAUUUCUUUUCCUUAGCCUUUUCAGUUGAAGAUGUCUGCUAAUAUUUCCUUGUCUGACUGACAGUUUACAUUCUUUUUGGCCUUCCAUCAUGAAAAAUUUUGGGGAUUUCUGAUGGAACUCGUAGCCAAUCGAACUGAGAAUUCAAUCUUAUUGAUUUUAUAUAGCAGAAAGUUAACACUUCUCUGUUUCCCUCUCUUCCAAGAAAUAACAGAAAGAUUCAAAUACUGCAAAAAUAAUCCAUCUCCCUCCCUCCCUUAACAAACUUAUUUAUAUGACUAACCAACCUAUCCCUAACCAACCAAUUACUCACACGUGUCUCCCUCCUUAACAAACUUAUUUAUAUGACUAACCAACCUAUCACUAACCAACCUAUCACUAACCAACCUAUCACUCACACGUGUCUCCCCCCUUAACAAACUUAUUUCCCCUCCUCCUGUACUGAUAUAAUAUUGGAGGUCUAACAAUUUCCUCUCUGGUUCAUAUUAAUAUGUUUUUACGAUAUCAAAUGGAACAUUUACAUAUCAAUCUUUGGCGAUGGUGUAGUGGUGUUUCCAUAUAGAACUUUAAUUUGUUUUAUUUUUCAGUGAGUGGAUAGAUAAUAAGAACCAGCUGUAGAUUGAAAGAAAAUUACUAUAACCCAAGCACUUUGAGCAGUUCGUAUUCACUUCUCUUUUGCUUUCUUGCCGAUCUUUGCAAAUUUUGGGUGCAUUGGUGGUUUAAGAUGGUAUAGAGCAGAUGAUCCAUGGAGGUCCUAUGUUCAAGCCCUUACAUUGUUGUUUCCUCCCCAUUUAAAUUGAUUUCCACUCGAUGAGUCUCUCUUCAUAUUUCAAGCCUGGGAGAGUGUUAGAUAUCAUAUUAAAUUUGCCUUCACCCAUCGGUUUAAGCGUUUGGGUUAACUGGUGAUUUAAGAUAUUCUGAAACAACACACACGAACCUCGUUGUGCUUCUUACUCUUCCAUGAAACCAAAUUGUCUCCAACAAAAACACAACGGCCAGAAGCCGAUCUUCUGUCUUUUUCUUUUUAUCCUGCCUAAUCAACAUCUGAAAUGCUUCAAUCUUCAUAUGACCAUCAUCUUCAUAUAAGAUCCCAUGUCCAGAAGCCUUCAUAUAGCAUAGAACUUGUGGCACUUAAACCCAAGGAUUGGUGAGGUUGUAAACUGACUCACUUACAAAAUUAGUUAAGUAUGGUCAUGUUACUGUAAGGUAAUUCAACUUUCCAACCAAUCUUCUAUAUCUCUCAGUAUUUGUCAAUGGCUUGCUAUCUUUCAAAAGUUGCUGACUAGGCAUCAUCAGAGUACUGCAUGGCUUGACUUCCAAUUUUUUGGUCUCCAACAACAAACCAAGCACAUAGUUUCUCUGGACAUAAAAAUAUAUCCUUCUUGCUUCUCAUUAUUUUAAUACUCAAGAAUUACUUUAGCACUCCCAAGAAGUAUGCAUUGACUUUGGAGGAAGGAUUUGAGAGACAAUAUACCUAAUAUAUCACUUCCAGCUAUGAGAAUAUCGUCAACAUAUACAAGUAAAAUAAUACAAAUUCAUAGAUUGUUGGUAGAAGACUGAGUGAUUCAAUUUUCUUUUCUUCAUUCCAAACUGCUCAAGUUUUUGACUAAAAUUUUCAAACCAUGCCUGUGGACUUUUUUUUAACCCAUACAAUAGUUUGUGAAGGCGAAACGUUUAUCAUUCUAUCCCUAAGCAACAAAUUAGUUGCUCCACACACACUUCUUCCUGAAGAUCGCCAUGGAGGGCAUUUUUAAUGUUAAGGUGAUGCAAAGGCCAAAUUUUAAAUGCUGCCACAGAAUUGAAUAAUCUGUUCUGCUUGGAUCUGAAGAAGGUCAAGAGAGUCAAAUUUUGUUUGCUCAAUCUAAUCUUUUCACAAUGUAAGGAUUAUACAUGAAUAGAAGCUAGUCCAUUCUUUAUAAUCUGUGUUUUAGAAAUGAAUAACCUGAUAGUAGUGAGCUUAGCAAUAGUCUAUCACAUACAUCUGAGCAUUACCUUUGGCCACAUGACACACUUUUUAAUGAGCAACCAAUCCAUCAAAAUUAACCUUUUUUUUCUUUUUUUUUUUUCUGAAAAGGAAAUUGAUCUCUUUGUUGAUAAUAAUAACUCAAAGUACAAAAGGUUUAUACAGAGAGCAAAACAAAAAGAGAACAUGGGAUCAGGAGGUGCAUCCGACCAUCUCAACUAGGUUGACACCCCCUUAGCGCCCUCAUCAUAUCCAAAUAAAUAUACAGUUCAAGAUACAAAGUAAAAGCUUUCUGAAGUACAUCAAAGCAGAGGCUGAAAAGCCGUUAAAAUAAAAUAAGAUGAGCAACAAAAAGGGCAGUGCAAAUGAGGCGUGAAAAGCCUGAGAAAGCAAAGAUAAAAAUCCUCUAGUGAUGGCUUCAACAAUGUGAUUCAUGAAGAAGGUGACUGCAUUGUCUGGGAAAAUGAAGGCCUGCCAGUUAAGAUAACUUGGAUGGAGAAAGCUUCAAAAUCUUUGUGUAAAGUACACCAAUGACCAAACUGACGCAUUUCUGUUAGCUAUUUCAAAAUGGUCUAACCAAAUGCCUCCUUAUUAUGAAAAAUUCUUUGGUUUCAUUCAAACCGAAUUCCGCCAAAACAGCCUUUGAUAAGUUUUCCCAGAUUAUUCUCAGAUUAAAGCCAAGAACCUGUGGAAGAACCCUGAGUUCUCAUCCCCUUCUCUUGGAAUUAAGGUUAAUCUUGUAAACAAACACCCAUUUGCACCGGAUAGCCUUUUUUCCUGCAAGAAGAGAUAGUAAAUUCAUAGUACUAUUAUAUCCAAGACAUUCAUCUCUUUAAAUCAUUGGAGUGCGGCAUCUAGAAUGAGACAAAGCUUCACGAGCUGUCUUAGCAAUCAAGACAGAAGCAAGAGAACAUGUAACAAAUGAUAAACAGUCAUAGGGACACAAAAAUCAAUACGAUAAGUGCAAGAACAUUUAUGCUAGUCAUGGGAAAUGGAUCUAGGUAUAGGAGAAGAUAUUUUCUUAUUCCUUUAGUGAUUGAGAAAGACUGACAUAUAAAAGAGGAUUAUCAAUUGAUGUGAUAAAAUUAAGCUUUCAAUCUAAUCCUAUAUGGAAAGAAUAAAACACAAGGAAAUAAUCUUGAACUAGUUCCCUAAUUUACUGCUGCAUAAUUUUACUUGGUUUCCUAUACUCCCUCUCAAGCUAAAUGGUAUAUGCUAGCAUUCCAAGCUUGAAAAUUAGUCCACCAAGGCUUUGGUUGAUGUAGAGCCUUGGUUAAUAUGUAGACAACUCAAAUUGGUAGUAUUUAUCUCAAUCUUCUCAAUGAUAGAAUGGCAAUCUAUCUCCACAUGUUUCAUUCUAUCAUGGUGUAUUGGAUUUCUUACAAUGCGUAUGGAAGAUUGAUUACCACGACGUACUUUUAUAGUAUCUUCAGUUUGAACUAUGAGCUUGUUGAGAGGUGUUUUAGCCAUUUUCCUUCACAAAUUCCAUGACCUAAUGAUCAAAUUUCAGCUUCAACACUACUUUGGGCUACAACUUGUUGCUUCUUGUUGCGCCAGGUUACUAGGUUUCUCAAUCAUAACAGCAAUUUCUUGAAACUGACUUAUCAUCUAUAAAAAUUAAUUAAAGAAGAAGAAAGAAUAACACUGGGUAUACGUGGAAAAUCCUAGUUUAGGGAGAAAAAACCACGAUAUGAGUCAAUAUUUUUCUUAUCAUUAAAAGAAUACAAGGGAUGAAAUAUUUAUAGGCCAUAAUGGGCCUUGACAAAAAAGGAAAUAAACAAGGGUGUAAAGAUAUCACAAAUACCCUUAGUACAAUUAUUUUCAACAGGAAUAGAGACUUGCAUUAUUAUUAUUAUUUAAAUAGAACCAGACCAAAUUGGCUGAACCAAAACUGAACUAGACGAGACUAAAUGAAUUGAACCAAAAUAGGUUGAUUGAAUUGAACCAAUUUAGGAUGACUGAACUGGACCCGAUAAACCAAAAUUGAUUCAAACAGUAGGUUUGACCAAUGAAAUCAACACAGAAUUGAAAUCCACAAGCAAAGGUGAGGCAAUGGAUAGAUAUAAGCGUGAAUAAGUGAAGUUGAAAUUUGGCAGUGGAACUGAGAUGUUAAAAUUUGGCAGUGGAACUGAGAUGUUAAAAUCAUAUUUGAAUGGCGAUGAUAUGGGACAAGCACUCAACAUAUCCGAAAAAUCUUGAACGUAUCUGAAUAGAACGAAUCUGGAUGCAGACAGAGCAAACAGAGGCUAAUCGGGUUGAGAUUAAUCACAUGGUGUGGCUGGGCAUGGAUGGCCGACGAAUCUUCAACCGUGCGAACGUGGAUGUGAACAACGGUGUUGGGAGACACCCGAUGUGGGCGGAGGUGACAAACGGAUCUUGGCGAACUUCGGAUGAGCAAGCGUGGUGAAAACAAGUCUGUGACAAAGACAUUUGGGUAAUUGGGGACAGACCUGCCUUCGUCAAAAACCUUUCUUUCGAUGGAGGCAGAUAUCGAACAAGACUAAUACGAUUAGGGUUCAAUGAGAACAAACCUAAAGCUCUGACGACAGAUGACCUUACUUGAACAAGAUUUGUUCUAUAGGUUGUACAUUUGUGUCCUUGUGUUCUAAGGAGACAAGAACCUAAGUCUGGUGGAUGAGUCUCUGUCAUGUGACUAGAGCGUGAUUAACGAUUCAAUGGACCCCAUGGUCUGGUGGCUGUAGAGGAUCGUUCAUGGUAGGCUUGUCCUGCUGAGAUGGUCGCAUGGUGGUCUGACAACUUUGAAAAACAAACCUAAAGCCCUUUUACCAUGCUAAUUUUAUAUAAUCCUAAUAAUUCAGAGUACAUAAUGAUCUUUUAUAUAGGGAUUAAAUAAAUCUCCAACGAAAUCACUAAAGAAAAAUACACUAAGGAAAAAUACCAAAAAGGAAAAUAAUGAUGGAAAAUACUAAUAAUCCAUAAACCCUAAUUUUCUUUUAACAAUGAAAACCCUAAACUAAUCAUAAUAAAUUACAAUGGUGGACAAAAGACUAACAAGCUCCUACAAUUACAUAUACACUAUAACAUAAGCAAACCUCUAAUGAGUCUAAGAUGAGAGCUCAAGGAGCUGGUUAUUCUGUGAAUUUAUGUGGCUAAAAAUCUCCUUAUCCUUACUCUGAUAAUUAAUUUUAGGCCUUUUAACUUAAUAUAAAAUGAACCCAUGCCCUGACCAACCUCUCCAAGCAAAGGGGAGGAGCCCACACCCAUCUAUCAAAGCCAAAGAACUAUUAAUUUACCUAUUCAUGUUCUGUCCCUUCUCAUCAAAUUGUUGGUUUAGCAUAUUUUCUAUGCUCAAAUCAGUUUGGGUCUUUGAUGGUUCGUUUAGCGCCAAUGUGCGCCAAUUACUGAGGAUGCCUUAUUUAUCAAAAAGACAUUUUCUAAUUUGGGUUAAUUUGAUAAAAGUGAUUCUAGCUGAGAUUUGGUUUGAACGUAACCAACGCAUCUUCCAUGAUAAAAAAAAUGGGAUUUGGGUUGACAUCAUAGAGAUUUCUAAAAGAAACGCAGCAGCUUGGUGUUCUUCAAAUGCAGAAUUCAAAGAUUACUCCAUUCAAGACAUCUGCCUCAAUUGGACCGCCUUCAUCGGAUGAGUUACAAUGUAGUUUACCCCGAUUGCCAGUUCAGAAUUAGUGAUUUUGUCGUUUGGACGGGUUUUAUAUGCAUUUCUGCCGUUAUGUUUUACUUUUCAGCCUUGCUUUUGUCUACUGUAGGUAGCUUUUGUAGUUAUUUUGGUUGUUACUUUGGUCUUUUUAUGACCUUAGUAUUGUUCUUGUACUUUGGUCUUUUCUUUGUAUUUUGAAUAUGAUGAGAGUGCUAUGGGGUGUCAACCUAGUUGAGAUGUUUGGGUGCAUCUACUGAUCCUAUCUCUCUAUCUCUCCCUCUUUUCUUGGCUUCCCUAUUAUUCUCAUUGUAUAGCUCUUUUGUACAUUGAGAUUUUUAAUAAUAAAGAAGCUUGUCUCCUUUUAAAAAAAAAA